rfam:Cohnella sp. VKM B-2846 B2846_15, whole genome shotgun sequence.
GGUUAAGCUAAUAAGAGCGCACGGUGGAUGCCUAGGCGCCAGGAGCCGACGAAGGACGCGACGAACAGCGAUAUGCUUCGGGGAGCUGUAAGUGAGCUUUGAUCCGGAGAUUUCCGAAUGGGGAAACCCAGCUAUCGUAAUGGAUAGUUACCCAUCACUGAAUUCAUAGGUGGUGCGGAGGCACACCAGGGGAACUGAAACAUCUAAGUACCCUGAGGAGAAGAAAACAAAAGUGAUUCCGUCAGUAGCGGCGAGCGAACGCGGAGAAGCCCAAACCAGAGAGCUUGCUCUUUGGGGUUGUGGGACGUCUCACAUGGAGUUACAAAAGAGGAUAUUAGGCGAAGAGGUCUGGAAAGGCCCGUCACAGAAGGUAACAACCCUGUAGCCGAAAGUGCCCUCUCUCCGAGACGGAUCCCGAGUACCGCGGGACACGAGAAACCCCGUGGGAAUCCGGCAGGACCAUCUGCCAAGGCUAAAUACUUCCUGGCGACCGAUAGUGAAGCAGUACCGUGAGGGAAAGGUGAAAAGCACCGCGGGAGCGGAGUGAAAAAGAACCUGAAACCGUGCGCUUACAAGAAGUCAGAGCCCGAUCUAGGGGUGAUGGCGUGCCUUUUGUAGAAUGAACCGGCGAGUUACGUUCACGUGCAAGGUUAAGCUGAGAAGGCGGAGCCGAAGCGAAAGCGAGUCUGAAUAGGGCGCUUAAGUACGUGGUCGUAGACCCGAAACCGUGUGAUCUACCCCUGUGCAGGGUGAAGGUAAGGUAACACUUACUGGAGGCCCGAACUCGUGAGCGUUGAAAAGCUCUGGGAUGACGUGGGGGUAGGGGAGAAAUUCCAAUCGAACUCGGAGAUAGCUGGUUCUCCCCGAAAUAGCUUUAGGGCUAGCCUCGAGGUAGAGCAUCAUGGAGGUAGAGCACUGAUUGGGUGCGGGGCCCGCCAAGGGUUACCAAGUCCAGUCAAACUCCGAAUGCCAUGUAUGUAUACUCGGGAGUCAGACGGUGAGUGCUAAGAUCCAUCGUCAAGAGGGAAAGAGCCCAGAUCAUCAGCUAAGGUCCCUAAGUGUGUGUUAAGUGGGAAAGGAUGUGGAGUUGCGAAGACAACCAGGAUGUUGGCUUAGAAGCAGCCACCAUUUAAAGAGUGCGUAAUAGCUCACUGGUCGAGUGACUCUGCGCCGAAAAUGUAACGGGGCUAAACACACCACCGAAGCUAUGGCAUGUACACUUAGGUGUGUACUUGGGUAGGGGAGCGUUCUGUAAGGAUUGAAGUCAGACCGUGAGGACUGGUGGACUUUACAGAAGUGAGAAUGCCGGUAUGAGUAACGAAAAGACAGGUGAGAAUCCUGUCCGCCGAAAGCCUAAGGGUUCCUGGGGAAGGUUCGUCCGCCCAGGGUAAGUCGGGACCUAAGGCGAGGCCGAAAGGCGUAGUCGAAGGACAACAGGUUGAAAUUCCUGUACCACCGUAAUCCGUUAUGAGCGAUGGGGGGACGCAGGAGGGCAAAGACGCAGACUGAUGGAAUAGUCUGUCCAAGCAGUGAGAGGUGUGUGCAGGCAAAUCCGCACACUAUAACCUCAAGCUGUGACGGGGAGGGAAAAUCACAGUACCGAAGGUCUUGCACCCACGCUGCCAAGAAAAGCCUCUAGCCAGGAGAAGGUGCCCGUACCGCAAACCGACACAGGUAGGCGAGAUGAGAAUUCUAAGGCGCGCGGAAGAACUCUCGUUAAGGAACUCGGCAAAAUGACCCCGUAACUUCGGGAGAAGGGGUGCCCCGGUAGUGUGAAUAGCACGAGGGGGCCGCAGUGAAGAGGCCCAAGCGACUGUUUAGCAAAAACACAGGUCUGUGCGAAGCCGUAAGGCGAAGUAUACGGGCUGACGCCUGCCCGGUGCUGGAAGGUUAAGAGGAGCGGUUAGCCGCAAGGCGAAGCUGUGAAUUGAAGCCCCAGUAAACGGCGGCCGUAACUAUAACGGUCCUAAGGUAGCGAAAUUCCUUGUCAGGUAAAUUCUGACCCGCACGAAUGGCGUAACGAACUUGGGCGCUGUCUCAACGAGAGAUCCGGUGAAAUUUUAGUACCUGUGAAGAUGCAGGUUACCCGCGACGUGACGGAAAGACCCCAUGGAGCUUUACUGUAGCUUGAUAUUGAACUUUGGUACGGUCUGUACAGGAUAGGUGGGAGCCUAAGAAAUAGGAGCGCAAGCUUCUGUGGAGGCGCCGUUGGGAUACCACCCUGAUCGUAUCGGAGUUCUAACCUGUCACCGUGAAUCCGGUGAAGGGACCGUGUCAGGCGGACAGUUUGACUGGGGCGGUCGCCUCCUAAAGCGUAACGGAGGCGCCCUAAGGUUCCCUCAGAAUGGUUGGAAAUCAUUCGCAGAGUGCAAAGGCAUAAGGGAGCUUGACUGCGAGACAUACAGGUCGAGCAGGGACGAAAGUCGGGCUUAGUGAUCCGGUGGUACCGAAUGGAAGGGCCAUCGCUCAACGGAUAAAAGCUACCCUGGGGAUAACAGGCUUAUCUCCCCCAAGAGUCCACAUCGACGGGGAGGUUUGGCACCUCGAUGUCGGCUCAUCGCAUCCUGGGGCUGAAGUAGGUCCCAAGGGUUGGGCUGUUCGCCCAUUAAAGCGGUACGCGAGCUGGGUUCAGAACGUCGUGAGACAGUUCGGUCCCUAUCUGUCGCGGGCGUAGGAAAUUUGAGAGGGGCUGUCCUUAGUACGAGAGGACCGGGAUGGACGCACCGCUGGUGUACCAGUUGUUCCGCCAGGAGCAUCGCUGGGUAGCCAAGUGCGGAAGGGAUAAGCGCUGAAAGCAUCUAAGCGCGAAGCCUGCCUCAAGAUGAGAUUUCCCAAUUCGUAAGACCCCUGGAAGAACACCAGGUUGAUAGGCUCGGGGUGGAAGCGCGGCAACGUGUGCAGCUGACGAGUACUAAUCGGUCGAGGGCUUAUCCUA